AAGUGUUAUCUGUCAAGUGUCAAAAAACUUGAAAAACUUUUACGAAGUUUUUGAAUUAUGUUAAAUUUGUUUAUAAACACAAUGCCAAAGGCAAGAAUAAUUGCCCACGCCAGAUGGAGACCCAGCUAAAUAAUGUAGUAACAGCGCGUGGUCGUGUGAUGAGGGUUCCUUGACUUGAGUUCUGGCGCAACACGUCCUGGGCACUAAACAAGAUUGGGGAUGGGACGUCUAAAGAGGUGCAAGCCUGGAAAACGCUCUCGUCUUGCUCUACAGCACUUGCACUUGUCCCACCAUCUACCAGUGUUGGAACUCUUCCAAUAAUUACCCACACCCAGGUGGAGAAUACUCCAGUUGCUGCUACUGCUACU